rnacentral:rRNA from 1 species
AUGGGAGACAGGUUGGAUCAACGUGAAUACUUUAGGGAUUAUCGCUUGACUCAAAAAGGGAAACUAUUAUGGGAUCAAAUUUAUAUGUUGUAUUGGUAUGCUAGGCAACUAUGCUUGAGAUAUGAUUAUACUUGUUGCUCUAGGAUGAAGGCUCCACACCUUCCCUUUUCAUGCAAAUUUAAUGAUGGUAAAACCUUGGCUUCUUAUGCUAAUGGUAUAUAUGAUUACUAUGAUGUGGAACAAAUAGAAGAAUUCAUUGCUUUUAUGGGUGCUUAUGUAAUUGAAUCUUUGUUUAAAGAGUUUGAAGAUUUUGAUGAUUCCAUUUAUAGACCUGAAAAUUUUGCUAUACUUAAACAUUGCUAUGAGAAUUAUGAAUUCAAUUCUGAUAUUGAUGAUUUUAUUGAGAGAGUCCCCUCUGUCCAAGAAGAGACUAAUAUUUUGCAUGAGUCUAUGGAAGAAGAAAUUAAUGACAUUGUGAGCUCAUUGGAUGAAAAAGAUGAGGAGGAGAGUGAAGAACAAAAGGAGUAA